rnacentral:rRNA from 1 species
UACAGAGGUCCCAAGCGUUGUUCGGAUUCAUUGGGCGUAAAGGGUGCGUAGGUGGCGUCGUAAGUCGGGUGUGAAAUUUCGGAGCUCAACUCCGAAACUGCAUUCGAUACUGCGGUGCUUGAGGACUGGAGAGGAGACUGGAAUUUACGGUGUAGCAGUGAAAUGCGUAGAGAUCGUGAGGAAGACCAGUGGCGAAGGCGGGUCUCUGGACAGUUCCUGACACUGAGGCACGAAGGCCAGGGGAGCAAACGGG